rnacentral:rRNA from 1 species
GACGAGCGCUGGCGGCGUGCUUAACACAUGCAAGUCGAACGGAAAGGCCCUGCUUUUGUGGGGUGCUCGAGUGGCGAACGGGUGAGCAACACGUGAGUAACCUGCCCUUGACUUUGGGAUAACUUCAGGAAACUGGGGCUAAUACCGGAUAGGAGCUCCUGCUGCAUGGUGGGGGUUGGAAAGUUUCGGCGGUUGGGGAUGGACUCGCGGCUUAUCAGCUUGUUGGUGGGGUAGUGGCUUACCAAGGCUUUGACGGGUAGCCGGCCUGAGAGGGUGACCGGCCACAUUGGGACUGAGAUACGGCCCAGACUCCUACGGGAGGCAGCAGUGGGGAAUAUUGCACAAUGGGCGGAAGCCUGAUGCAGCAACGCCGCGUGCGGGAUGACGGCCUUCGGGUUGUAAACCGCUUUCGCCUGUGACGAAGCGUGAGUGACGGUAAUGGGUAAAGAAGCACCGGCUAACUACGUG